rnacentral:rRNA from 1 species
UACGUAGGCAGCGAGCGUUGUUCGGAGUUACUGGGCGUAAAGGGUGUGUAGGCGGUUCUUUAAGUUUGGUGUGAAAUCUCCCGGCUCAACCGGGAGGGUGCGCCGAAUACUGAGGGACUAGAGUACGGGAGAGGAAAGUGGAAUUCCUGAUGUAGCGGUGAAAUGCGCAGAUAUCAGGAAGAACACCCGUGGCGAAGGCGGCUCUCUGGGACGGUACUGACGCUGAGACGCGAAAGCGUGGGGAGCGAACAGG